UACGGAGGGAGCUAGCGUUGUUCGGAAUUACUGGGCGUAAAGCGCGCGUAGGCGGCCUUGCAAGUUAGAGGUGAAAGCCCGGAGCUCAACUCCGGAACUGCCUUUAAAGCUGCAUAGCUUGAAUCCGGGAGAGGUGAGUGGAAUUCCGAGUGUAGAGGUGAAAUUCGUAGAUAUUCGGAAGAACACCAGUGGCGAAGGCGGCUCACUGGACCGGUAUUGACGCUGAGGUGCGAAAGCGUGGGGAGCAAACAGG
rnacentral:rRNA from 1 species